rnacentral:rRNA from 1 species
UACGGGGGGGGCAAGCGUUGUUCGGAAUCACUGGGCGUAAAGGGCGUGUAGGCGGUCAGGUAAGUGAGACGUGAAAUGCCCCGGCUUACCCGGGGACCUGCGUCUCAUACUGCUUGGCUUAAGUACGGGAGAGGGUGUGGGAAUUCCUGGUGUAGCGGUGAAAUGCGUAGAGAUCAUGAGGAAGACCAGUGGCGAAGGCGGGUCUCUGGACAGUUCCUGACACUGGGACACGAAGGCCAGGGGAGCAAACGGG